rnacentral:lncRNA from 1 species
GGAAGAUGAUUGACGUGUGAAAAUUUGAUAUAAUAAUGAAAUAAUUGAAAAGGGAAGAAAGAAUGGAAAAGUUAGGAAGAUGUUGAUGGAGUGAGUAGACAUGAUGCGGGAUGUACAGAGUCAGUUACAUCCACAUGGUGAUAAUUGCCAUUCACUUGUGUAUGUGAUGCUAAUGGGUGGCUGAAAAACCCCACUCCCUAUCUUCCUUUCCCAAUUCACAUCCCC